rnacentral:rRNA from 1 species
UAGGGAAUCUUCCGCAAUGGGCGAAAGCCUGACGGAGCAACGCCGCGUGAGUGAUAAAGGUCUUCGGAUCGUAAAACUCUGUUAUUAGGGAAGAACAAAUGUGUAAGUAACUAUGCACGUCUUGACGGUACCUAAUCAGAAAGCCACGGCUAACUACGUGCCAGCAGCCGCGGUAAUACGUAGGUGGCAAGCGUUAUCCGGAAUUAUUGGGCGUAAAGCGCGCGUAGGCGGUUUUUUAAGUCUGAUGUGAAAGCCCACGGCUCAACCGUGGAGGGUCAUUGGAAACUGGAAAACUUGAGUGCACAAGAGGAAAGUGGAAUUCCAGGUGUAGCGGUGAAAUGCGCAGAGAUAUGGAGGAACACCAGUGGCGAAGGCGACUUUCUGGUCUGUAACUGACGCUGAUGUGCGAAAGCGUGGGGAUCAAACAGG